GGGGCCUACGGGAGGCAGCAGUGGGGAAUCUUAGACAAUGGGCGCAAGCCUGAUCUAGCCAUGCCGCGUGAGUGAAGAAGGCCUUAGGGUCGUAAAGCUCUUUCGCCUGUGAAGAUAAUGACUGUAGCAGGUAAAGAAACCCCGGCUAACUCCGUGCCAGCAGCCGCGGUAAUACGUAGGGUGCGAGCGUUAAUCGGAAUUACUGGGCGUAAAGCGUGCGCAGGCGGUUUGUUAAGACAGUUGUGAAAUCCCCGGGCUCAACCUGGGAACUGCAAUUGUGACUGGCAGGCUAGAGUUUGGCAGAGGGGGGUGGAAUUCCUGGUGUAGCAGUGAAAUGCGUAGAUAUCAGGAGGAACACCGAUGGCGAAGGCAGCCCCCUGGGCCAUGACUGACGCUCAUGCACGAAAGCGUGGGGAGCAAACAGGAUUAGAUACCCUGGUAGUCCACGCCCUAAACGAUGUCUACUAGUUGUUGGGUCUUCAUUGACUUAGUAACGAAGCUAACGCGUGAAGUAGACCGCCUGGGGAGUACGGCCGCAAGGUUAAAACUCAAAGGAAUUGACGGGG
rnacentral:rRNA from 1 species